rnacentral:rRNA from 1 species
GGUAGCCGGCCUGAGAGGGUGACCGGCCACAGUGGGACUGAGACACGGCCCAGACUCCUACGGGAGGCAGCAGUGGGGAAUAUUGCACAAUGGGCGAAAGCCUGAUGCAGCGACGCCGCGUGAGGGAUGACGGCCUUCGGGUUGUAAACCUCUUUCAGCAGGGACGAAGCGCAAGUGACGGUACCUGCAAAAGAAGCACCGGCUAACUACGUGCCAGCAGCCCGCGGCCGAA